GAUGAACGCUAGCUACAGGCUUAACACAUGCAAGUCGCAGGGUAACAUGAGGAAAGCUUGCUUUCCUUGAUGACGACUGGCGCACGGGUGAGUAACGCGUAUCCAACCUUCCCAUAACUACGGGAUAACCCGUUGAAGACGGCCUAAUACCGUAUGAUAUCGUUUUCUGACAUCAAAUAACGAUUAAAGGUUUAGCGGUUAUGGAUGGGGAUGCGUCUGAUUAGCUUGUUGGCGGGGUAACGGCCCACCAAGGCGACGAUCAGUAGGGGUUCUGAGAGGAAGGUCCCCCACAUUGGAACUGAGACACGGUCCAAACUCCUACGGGAGGCAGCAGUGAGGAAUAUUGAUCAAUGGGCGAGAGCCUGAACCAGCCAAGUAGCGUGCAGGACGACGGCCCUAUGGGUUGUAAACUGCUUUUAUGUGGGGAUAAAGUGCGUGACGUGUCAUGCAUUGCAGGUACCACAUGAAUAAGGACCGGCUAAUUCCGUG
rnacentral:rRNA from 1 species